rnacentral:rRNA from 1 species
UACAGAGGGUGCAAGCGUUGUUCGGAAUUAUUGGGCGUAAAGCGCGCGUAGGCGGCUACUUAAGUCGGAUGUGAAAGCCCUUGGCUCAACUGAGGAAGUGCACCCGAAACUGAGUGGCUAGAGUACGAAAGAGGGUCGCGGAAUUCCCGGUGUAGAGGUGAAAUUCGUAGAUAUCGGGAGGAACACCGGUGGCGAAGGCGGCGACCUGGGUCGAUACUGACGCUGAUGCGCGAAAGCGUGGGGAGCAAACAGG